rnacentral:lncRNA from 1 species
AUGAAGUGCUGCAGCUAGCGCAAAGUUGGAAGAGCCCACCUGCCAUCCCAUUUCCAGAAUAUCAUGAACGUCAGGACGCGCAGUGCGUGGGGAUUCCUAGGAUUACCCAGCGUACCCCGCGGGUAAAGAUGGCGAUAGAUGAAGAGGGUAGGAGAUCAACUUUGGCCGGGAACAACCAUAGCUGAAUUUCGGUUUUUAUAGAGAAUAAACCGUUAGUUAUCGGUUGUGUAAUUGCUUAAUGGUUAGGCACUUAUAUCAUUGUCAUUCGUGAGUCUACGCAACGUGAUCGAAUAAUUACAGCGCAUGAGCUUCCUUCCUUGCAACCAAACUGCAGACAGCGUCCGUCCUAAGAAGAGCGGAUAAAGUUUAUUACGGAUCUGACUCAGCCCUCUGACACUGAUUUAAAUUUUUUUUUAUUUGGGGUAACUAUAACAGCAGACAUUAAACAGGUUAUCAGUAGCCCAGAGGUUCACAUGCCAAGAAAGCGAGGAGGAGGACAAGGAGGAGGAGGGGCAGGAAGAGGAGCCAGAGGGGACACACCCAGGGCGAUCAGUCUGGAACACGUAGCAUACGCUCCUAAAGAAUGCCUGUGACUUAAGAACCUGUGGAUGAGGACAUCGCUGGAAUACCUCAGAAUUUGGGAAUAACCGACCGG